rnacentral:rRNA from 1 species
UUUGGAGGGCAAGUCUGGUGCCAGCAGCCGCGGUAAUUCCAGCUCCAAUAGCGUAUAUUAAAGUUGUUGCAGUUAAAAAGCUCGUAGUUGAACCUUGGGUCUGGCUGGCCGGUCCGCCUCACCGCGAGUACUGGUCCGGCUGGACCUUUCCUUCUGGGGAACCCCAUGGCCUUCACUGGCUGUGGGGGAACCAGACUUAGCU